GGUCUAACCUGCCCAAUGAGGAUUUAAAUGGCCGCAGUAUUUUGACUGUGCAAAGGUAGCAUAAUUAUUAGUUUUUUAAUUGAAAGCUUGUAUGAAGGGUUGGACGAGAUAAAAUCUGUCUUUAUUUAAAUUAAAGUAGAAUUUAACUUUUAAGUUAAAAGGCUUAAAUGUUUAUAAAAGACGAGAAGACCCUAUAGAUCUUUAUUUAAUUAAUAUUUUAAUAAUUUAGGAUUAAUUUAAUUUAAAAUUUUAAUUAAAUUUUAUUGGGGUAAUAUAAAGAUUAAAUAAAUUCUUUUUAUUUAUUACAUUAAUUUAUGAAUAUGUGAUCCAAUAUUAUUGAUUAUAAGAUUAAGUUACCUUAGGGAUAACAGCGUAAUUUUUUUGGAGAGCUCAUAUCGAUAAAAAAGUUUGCGACCUCGAUGUUGGAUUAAAAAUUAGCUUGGGUGUAGAAGCUCAAGAUUUUGGUCUGUUCGACCNUUAAAUUUUUACAUGAUCUGAGUUCAGACCGGCGUAAGCCAGGUCGGUUUCUAUCUUUAUUUAGAUAAAAUAUUUUAGUACGAAAGGACCAAAUAUUUAAUAUAAUUAUAUUUAUUUUUUGAAUAAUAUUAUUACUUUGGCAGAUUAGUGCGAUGAAUUUAGAAUUCAUGAAUGUAAUUAUAUUACAAGUAAUACUUGUAUUUAGGCGAUUUAUUAUUGAUAGUUUUUUGUAUAUUAAUUCUUGUAAUUUGUGUAUUAGUUGGGGUGGCUUUUUUGACGUUAUUAGAGCGAAGGGUAUUAGGUUAUAUUCAGAUUCGUAAGGGUCCAAACAAGGUUGG
rnacentral:rRNA from 1 species